rnacentral:rRNA from 1 species
GAUGAACGCUGGCGGCGUGCCUAAUACAUGCAAGUCGAGCGAACGGACGAGGAGCUUGCUUCUCUGAUGUUAGCGGCGGACGGGUGAGUAACACGUGGAUAACCUCCCUAUAAGACUGGGAUAACUUCGGGGAACCGGAGCUCAUACCGGAUAAUAUUUUGAACCGCAUGGUUCAAAAGUGAAAGACGGUCUUGCUGUCACUUAUAGAUGGAUCCGCGCUGCAUUAGCUAGUUGGUAAGGUAACGGCUGACCAAGGCAACGAUGCAUAGCCGACCUGAGAGGGGGAUCGGCCACACAGGAACUGAGACACGGCCCAGACCCCUACGGGAGGAAGCAGUAGGGAAUCUUCCGCAAGGGGCGAAGGCCUGACGGAGCAACGCCGCGGGAGUGUGGAAGGUCUUCGGAUCGUAAAACUCUGUUAUUAGGGAAGAACAUAUGUGUAAGUAACUGUGCACAUAUUGACGGUACCUAAUCAGAAAGCCACGGCUAACUACGUG